UACGUAGGGUGCGAGCGUUGUCCGGAAUUACUGGGCGUAAAGAGCUCGUAGGUGGUUUGUCGCGUUGUCCGUGAAAACUCACAGCUCAACUGUGGGCGUGCGGGCGAUACGGGGCAGACUGGAGUACUGCAGGGGAGACUGGAAUUCCUGGUGUAGCGGUGGGAAUGCGCAGAUAUCAGGAGGAACACCGGUGGCGAAGGCGGGUCUCUGGGCCGAUAUUGACGCUGAGGAGCGAAAGCGUGGGGAGCGAACAGG
rnacentral:rRNA from 1 species